UUGCUGAUUCAUCAAGGUGAGUGGUUUAGUCCUUCAUUUCAGUGUAGUGCAAAAGAGGUAGGAACAAGCAGAAAAGAUAUUAGGGAGGCGGGAGGAAGAAGUUUUAAAUGUGCUUCUGUGUUUUCUCCUUCUGCUAAGGCAUUGUCUCCCUGCAUGGUGGAACUAAGCCACGUGUCUUAAAGCAGAUACAUAGCCCUGAGAAGUUGGAUUCGAUUUCUUCGGUUACAUUUCCAGAGUUAAACCCGCUGGAGCAGCUUCUUCCAGGGUGGGAAGUCUUGUGUGCAUGCUUCACUGAGCAAGCAGAGUGCUUGGAGAUGAAUGUGUGGUUCCCUCCUGUGGCUUAGAAGGCUAUAUCGGUAUUUUUAGUUGUUUUUUUUUUCUUUCCCCAUCUUACUGAGCUAGGAAGGGAAGAUUAUGGCACUUGAUGAUUUAAUCAACAUAAUCUCCAGAUAAAACAUGCUCAUGUUAUACUAUUGGGAGAUAUUAAUUUAUGCUGGUUUGCUUCUCCUAAUGUAAAUUAAAUCAUUAGUUUUAAGACCGGAUUGGGUGCACGUGUCCCCUGCCUCUUAAAAAGGCAGUUCAGUAGUUCUUAAAAGCUUCUUGGCUUGGCAUUUCUUGGGAGUCAUCAAAUCCCUUCAGCGCAGGUGUCGUGAGGAGUGGAGCCGAGAUGCAGUGCUUAAAGGUACAACCACUAGCUCUGUGGUAGCUAAACGCCUCCACGCUGGCAGAGGCCCUGCUGAUGCCUGGUGCCUCCUCCUUUACUCAAGUAGUGUUUUGCCAGCUCAUUAAUCCAGUGAGGAGGUUUUACCCCAGGUCUGAGGAACCAACAGUUGCUCCUGUGCUCAAACCUGUAUCUAGAGCAUCUGCUGUCUGUUGAUGGAGAGUUAAGCUGGUCGGUGUGUGGUGGAGACCUGGACAGAGCUUGGUGGUGUCCACAUCCCUCUCCCGCUGGAGAGAAUGCGGGGACAUCGAGGAUGGUGUGCUGACUUGUGCUUGGCAAUACGCCUGAGCAGAGCUGUGGGUGCUGGGUGAUCUUGGAAAUGCCAUCAGCACGUCUGAACUGGCUGAAAAUUCCCCAAAAAUGUAUAGGUGAAGCUCUUGAGUGCGCAACAGAAAUGAAAAGUGAAAUAUCUUUACUGAGAUGGGUGGGAGAUGUCAUAACUCUUUUCAUACAGGCAGGGAAACUGAGGCAUGGUUUCCCAUCACGAAGGGCAGUAGCGGGGUGUGGGGGUAAAUGCCUGAUGCCAGUGGCCCCUCCUACAGCCAACUGGUUUAGAGCAGAGCGCUGAGCCGAGCCAGCGUUGGCUGCUCCUCUGUGGCUCCUUGUAGGAGCACCCAGUGGAGAUGCAGGCUCCGAGCGUUGAGGUGCCCUGUCCGCUUGGGUGGCCAGCAGCUCUGGCAGGGAAGCCAGGCCCUGCUGCUGAGACAGACGGGGACGGCUCCUUGUGACCCAAAGGGGAGGAGAAAUGACAGAGGCCCUAGCAGAUUUCAGGGCUAUUAAGGAUGUGAUAAUGAGCCUUUGCAUGCAUCAUUUUUCAGCACUUCACUCCCCCACCCCCAGUUCAGCCUGUGCAUUAACACUCUCCGUCCCAGGAGGACAGUAAACACUCCGCUGCUGCUGUAACUCCAUUUGUUAUGCAUCUGGGCAUCAACAGGGCUGGUGCGUGCAGAGGAGGGGGCGAGGAGAGAAGGUGCCUUCCCAGAAAGCUGGCUUUGUUCUCCGUCAGCAUAGAGAUGCUCAAGGUACAGGUUUGACCAAAAGAGCAAUUGCUGGUCCCCCAGACCUGGGUUGGAACCUUCUUGCUGAAUUAAUGAGCUGGUAAAAUAAUACCAGCGGGUAAAGGAGGAGGCAGAACGUAGAACUUGCUGCUGUGGGAUGCUCUCUUGCAAGUCGUGGCCUUCAGGUUAUGUGCUUGCGGAGGAUCUCGUGUGAGAUGGUCUCAGUGCAGCUGGGGAAGGGCUGUGCUCACUGUGCUGUUCCCUGCGUUUCCCUGGUGCUGCCUUCCUUGGUAGGGUCAGUCUUUUGGUCUGGUUCUGCAUGGCCCGUCUCUUGGAGGGUGAAAUCUUCCCCCGCGUUGCUAUGCCUCCCCGGGUCCUGCGGGCCGUGUGCCGUACGGUGGGUCCUGGCUGGUGGUGGAUGUGCUGGGGGCUGCUCUGGACCAGCUGCUCUGAGCCUGGCACAGGCAGGAGCAGGCAGGCAGCGUUCUCCUGCAGCGCAGAGCCAGCUUGCUCCUGGGGUGGGGGAAAUUCCUGAUCACUCCUGUGAGCCAGUUAAUAUCUCCAUGGAGGUCAAAACAGGGAUGAAUCCACGAGGUUAUAAAUUGUGUGUGUGUAGCUCUUCCUAUUAUGCUGCUAGAUGGCGGUGCCUGUGCGAAGAGCCGGUCCUUCUUGCUUUCUGAUUUCAUUUUUCCUGUUGGAAUAUAUAGAGGCUUUUUUCUGCCUGAAUAUUUAGAGGCAAGUGUCUCUCUCUCCGCAUAGUAGGCUUGCAGGUGAUUUAUUGUGUGGUGCUCUAGCACUGGGAUUAAAUGUUAAUGCAGGUGGGCUGAUGCAGUCUGCUUUGAACUGGUCAGCUCCUGUAGGUCUGUAGGCUUUUGGGCAAUAAAACCAGCUGUGUGAUAUGGCCCUUUGGCACCCUGUAGAUGUGCCUGUUGGUGCAUUGAGAAUUCUCCGUCUCCACCUUGCCACAGGCACCCUCAAGAGGCAUCCUUGGGGCUGAACUCUUGACCUUUGGCUAGCUGUGAUGGAGGACCCUCUGUUGCUGUGUAAUUGUUAGUGUCCAGCUUCUCACGGGCUUAGUUUUAGAGCUGCGCGUUUCCCCUGGGCAAUGCUCAGGCUGGGGAUGCCUUGCAGAAGGCAGAGAUCACCUCCCUGCUGCCGUGCCGUGGGACAGACAGGCAGGUAUCUUAUCGGGACAGGAGACGAAAAGAUCCCAAAUUGGUAUUUGUCGUUUCUGACAAUGUUCUGUCACGGACAGAGCAAGAGGGGAGCAAUAUUAUUUUUGGUUGGAUUGGGCUGUUUUUCCUCUCCUCUCUUACUGCAGCCGAGCCAACUAGACAUGACAUGCUGCCAAAUGCUUGCUCAGGUUUGCUUUUGCCUUAGUGCAGGUUUUUUGCAAGGGGAAGAAGUGCUUUUUUUGUUGUAAAGAAAGUGUUUGUAGUCUGUCAUGCUGGCAGAGACCUGGGGGAAAGCUGAUAUGCAAAAUGUGUUUUGACUUGGUUUAAUGUCUCUUUCAGGGUGCUGAUGCCUCUCCUGUGUCUCCCUGCCAGUCAUCCAAGGCUUGUCCUGCAGCUGUGGAGCAUCAGGCAGGUCUGUGUUUGGGAGCAGGGACCUUGGUGUCACAGAGGGGUACCAGGAGAGCUCCAGACUCCAGUUCUCAGUCUAUGGCAUGGAGGAGGGAGCCAAAGCAAGAGGGCUUCUGCUCGGCACUGCUUUGGUGUUGCUCAGAGAGACGGCAGCCAGUCGGAGCAGGAGGGAUGCCAGCUGUCUGGAGGGAGCAGGGAGUGUGGCUUAAGUAAGGGAGGAAGAAGAAGCAUGUCUCAGAUGAGGGCAGUGCCCCUCUGAAGUAGGAGGACAUCUUUAUAUUGACUGCUGUCCUUGGAUUAGGGCGGCUGCAAGAAAGGAGGAGCAGAGUGCUCAGCCAAGGCAUCUGUUGUCUCUCUUCGGUGAAGUCCUGCUGGCUCCCAACUUGCCAUUUCUGGAGACCAGACCCACUGCUCUUCCACACAAUACCAGAUCUCCUGACAUGCCCUUCUCACAGUUGCUGGAGAGAAGCUCAACAUGGGGGUGAUGGUCCUGCGCGGUUCCUGCCUGGAUGCCUCCUCUUCCUUGUCAGAUUUCUAGGUCUCUGUUUCACCCCAAGGGGCUACCUUGCCUCCACCGCAGUGGGACGCAGAGAUGCCUGAGCUAACUCUGAGCGAGGAAUUGUGGAGUCCAGAAGCAGCAGGACUGCUUUAAAUGAGGCUUUUGCUCUCUGUAAUCAUCCCAUCUUGAGAAGUACAAGAUACUAUGUCAAGCUGCAGGGCUUCUUCUCAAGGACUUUGAGCUGUGUUUCCUGGGAUCGUGAGCAACUGAUGGAUCAUCCCUGGUGCCCCUGUGAAACCUGACGCUGUCCCCACGCCGGCACUGGGAGAUUUCCAACCAAACCUCCUCGUCUUGGGGUCAGUUCAGUGAAGGAAGCAAAGAGGAUUUUAGGUCCUCCCAUCCUGUGGUGCCUACAGGCUCGAUGUGAUUCGGGAUCUCCGGAGCUGAUGGAUGUCUGGGAGAGUUCUCCAAGUCCUGCUAGGCAGAAGAGUUCGCACAUCAUUAGCACCGUUGCUGUGACCAAACCCUGGCUCGGACAGGCGUGAGUCGUUUGGAGAUGCCUGAUAAAAGGGGGAUUGGAAGUGAAGGAAUGGCACCGCCAGACUGGUGGGGCUGUUCUUUCACCCAUGGCUUGGGGAGCACCCCGCAUCCUGCAGCGAUGGCCGGUGGAGCAGGACAUCAGUGCCAGAUGGGAGUCCAGUGCAAGAGAGGCCGCUCUUUUGGGCUGUGCUGGAGCUCCGUGGGCUCAGUGCCCAGCUGUGACACGUAAGGAUGGGACAGGGAAGUCGUAGGGAGCCUCCAGAGGUGCUUCUCUGCUUGCCACUCUUCACAUUUGAGGAUGUCCCAGGUCUGACAUGAUGUCCCUAUAGCUAAUGGCUCCACACACCUGCCUGCCUCCUGAGCCUCCUACCCCACGAACUGCCUGACCGUCAGCUCUGCACCACCCAUAACGUGUCUUCUGCAGGGUCAGCCAUGCAUUGCCUUGGUGGGCACUUGGCUUGGCCAACGGCGACCAGAGCUCUGCUGCUCCCUGCCUGGGCACGCGCCUGUUAGUGCACACAAAGCAAAUGGACCCUCUGCCCGAGGUGGGGGUUCUUUGCAAUGUUCUUCUGGUGAGGAUUAACUCCUGACACUGCUAUUUGUUAUGGGAAGAGGUUAUGUUUUCCCGGGAGAUGUUGGAUUUAACCGGCAAUGUGAAGCUUUCUCCUGCCUUGGAUCCCCCCCGUCACUGACUGACCAUGUCACGGUUCUUAUGCCUUGAUAAGACUUACCCUGGAUUAUUAUUUAGCCCCUAAUUAAUCUUGAGAGUGAUGUAAAGGCUUUGAACUGGUUGUUUGAAGAUUGAGUGGAUGAUUUCUGCUCUUGUCAAAGAAAAAGGGAUUUGGAGGCAAGAGCCUAGCUCUGAAUGAUGUUGAGUUGCUCUCGCCAGGCAGGUGGGACUGGCUCCUGACUCCCUCCCUGCCAGCGCCUGUGGGGCCCCUGCAAGGCAAAUCCCCUCAGAAAUGGGAUGCAAAACGGUGCUCGGGAGGGAUGCGAGCCAGGAUGAUGUCUGGCUGGGGACUGGAUACACCCUGUACAAACAGUCAGAUGCCAGCGGGAAUCCCCCCACGGGAGCUGUGAGGUUUGGGGUUAACAGCCCGGCCCUUUUCUUCUCCCACAAGCGAUUUCCCCUCAUGUAUCUUGUUUGCUUGCAGACUCCUUGCAGCAGCCAGCAGCUCGGUUGUCUCAUUAAUCACCACUGACAAUGGCCACACAGCGUCUAGUGAAGCCAGGACCUUGUUCCCCAGCCAGGAAGGUGUUGGGAUGAGCCGUAUUGCUCCCUGAAAACUCCAGCCGAAAACGGGGAAAAGGCGGUGUCGCCCAUGGGGUUGAAGCUCAUGGAAGAUGCUCUUUCUCCAUGCCAGCCUCUUGUUCCUGCCUGCAGGCAGGCAGUGAGUUACGGUUAGCCCUUGUGAACCUGUGUCUUUUUAAAAUGCAUCUUUUUAAAAUGCAUCUUUUCCUUCUCCCUGCUCGCUGGGAUCAAGGGCAGCUCUGUGGGGGGCUGGUGGGUUUGUCUGCCACUGCAUUGAUUUGGCAAAGGCUGGGGAUGAAAGCACCGCAGCCUCCAGCUGAGGCUGUGGAGGGUUUUAGGCUUGAGUUUUCCCGAAUUCUGCCCAUCGCAAAAGUAAACAAACGCCACUGGCCAGGGGCAGCUUGGAGCUGGAGAGGGUUGGCACAGGGGCUGAGCAUCGAUCACGGGCUGCUAGGCAAGACCUGACCAAAACCCCACUGGUGUCAGGAGGCAACUCCAACCCUCCCAGCUUCCAAAUGUUGGGCCGGGCAGAAAAACCAGCCUACUUAGAAAGCAGUCGUUUGAUGUUGUGCUGUCAGACUUCAAAUGGCCAUCACUGCGGCUCAUGACCCCGAGCAGAAAUCCUGGUGGACCUCAGCCUGUUUCAGGUCUCAAUCUGACCUGUUUUUGUGAUGCCCUGAAAACGGCAUCAUCCAUCACAGCCUGUGGGGGUGCAGGAAGGGGAGGGCAGGUUAAACUCCUCUCCCUUACCCUCUGCCGCUCCCCGCCACCACUUUAUCUCUCCAGAAGCUGCAUUUGAGUACAGCUCACUUUGUUAGUCAUUUCUUUUACACAGAGGCUUUUAAAAGUGCCUGGGAACAGCGGCUUGUGUCAGGGAGAUGCUUUUCAGUCCAGCGACUGUAAUAUUUAAGUGCUGGUUAAAUAGCCACCUCAUCUAAAAGUAACAGGCAAAGAGCUGAAAGCUUGCCGGAGCCGCAGCCUUCUACCUGCCUAUUUGAACAGGUCCUACAGAGAUGAUUUAGGAGACCAGGGUUUCUUCCCCAUCAGCUGCCUGGGUCACAUCAGGGAUGGGAUGGCAUUUUCCUUGCACCCCCAUGGAGCUCUGCUGCCCCAGGGACUCUGUGCACCCCACGGAUGAUCCAGCUGGCUGAUGGGGGCAGUUCGGGGUUGGGUGGCUGUGGCCCACGGGGGUCUUCUCAAAUGGGUGAUGUGUCUUGAUGAGCCCAGGUGCCUCGAUGUUCCUUCCCAGUGGAGGAGCAGUCUGUAAUGCUGCGGUGGCCCUUCCCUGGCCACGUGGGUCCCGUGCCUGCAGUCCCCAGGGGAGCCCCCCCCUGCGGUGCUGGAGCCACAGGGCUGUGUCCUGAGCUGGAGAAAGCUGGCAGAGGGGCUGUCAGCCUGGGGAGACCCUGGCUGGGGAUGCUGAGGGUAUCCUGAGGUGCCACCACCCCCCUGCAGCCCAUCCUGUCAUGGUACGUGGUGGCGCUAAGGAAAUGGAGAUGCUGGGACCCUUCAUAUGGGUCUUAUUUGCUUUUAAUCUGAUAGUUAAAUUGUUUUCUUCCCAAAUGUAGUAAAUGAGAGGUUUAAUCAAACCCAGCCAGCCAGCACUGAUGGAAUCUUGGCAGUAGAGGAAAACACUGCAUUUUUGUUUGUGUCCCACCGUGCUCCCUUGGAGACAUCCUGGCUCUUGCAGCAGCUCCUCACUCGACGGCACCGGAGGGCACGGGCUUUGCUUAGCUGUUAAUCCAAGUACUGUGCCCUAUGUGGGGCCAUCACAGCGGGACCCCUGCUAGCCCACCUGCUCCCAGCCCCUCUCCUUGGCCAGGCUUCGCGGUGGCAAUGGUGGGACUGUCCUGCUACACCUCUCCUCAACCGCUUUCUUUCCAGGAGGAGGGUCUCACCUGGUACCCCCAUCCCAGGAGUUGGUGUUGGGUUCAAGCCCUCCACCCCAGGUUUCCUAUCAUGCGUGACAGCACCAGGAUCUGCUCUUAGAGCAUCUCCAUGUCUGAACUUCUCUGCCCAAAUCUUAGACAUGUUGUGGCCCUUGGUGGGGGAAAAGAUGAGCAUCUUCCCAGGCCGGAAACAGCCUUGGGCAAGGGUGUGAGUAGGGAUAGAGCCAGCGGGCUUCGCUGGCUUUAAAAUAGGGAGCAAAGCACCCCCAAACGUCCAGCUGGUCAAUGCUUCUGGGAAUGAGGGGAGACUCUGCGUUCCCUUAUGCAUCAGAGCCCUCAAAACCCACUGGCUCCCGGCGCGAGGCCAGCUGAUCCUGGAGACGCGGCUCCUCUGCCUCCUUUUUCCAGAUGGCUUUUCUCAAUCAAGGCUUUUCCAGAAAUAGCUUGCAUACACCGAGCAGCCGGCUCUGCAAAUAGCUCACCUCCCGAAACAAGGAGGCAGUGCGGUCGGAGCAUCGUCCCCUAUGUCCCUUCCAUGCUCCCGACUGCCUUGGUGCUGACUCCAGCAUGCAGAAACCCUCUGCUUCUGCCGGGACGCCUCUGCCGGCUGGGAAAUGGGGAUGUGCCAGGGUCCUCUGUGUCUGGGCUGUCCUGUCCUGCACUGGGGGAGCCCCAGCUUUGCUGUGGGAGCUGACCGGCGGCUUGCUUGGCCAUGUGCAUCCCGCAUCUCUGCAGGGAAGGGUGGCUGGUGGCUUCCAGGGGCAGGGAGGUGGCCCAGGGGACACAGCACAUGGUCCGAAUGUCAUGGGGGCGGGGCACCACUGCUCCCAGCUGCAGUGCUGCCUCGUGUCCCUUCUUAUAUGUUUAUUAUGCCAACUUGAAGGGGGGGGAAUGCAGUUUUUUUUCUGUAGGUUUAGCUGAUUUAUUAAUGGUCUGUAAUGCCAGUAAUAGCUCAUCUAUAAAUCUGUUCUUAAGAAUUUAUAGGGCAAAUAUUCCAGUGCCAUAUUAAAGACACAACUCAUAAAUGCCUGUGAGCACCAGCCCAAUGGCUCUGGCAGCAGAAAACAGUUAUCUGAGGGGAGGGAAAGGCGGCGAGCUCACCCCAGUGGCUUCCACCUGGAGCCUUGAAAAUAUUUGGAAAGCAAAUUAUUUCAGGGACUGUUCCUUCCAGCCAGGAGGUGCCUGUGGCCUCCUGCUCCAUGCUGUGCUGGAACCGAGCCUGCAGUGGGUGUCAGCACCAUCCCGAUGCCAAGGCACUGCUCCCAUCCCUGCAGGCUCCCAGGCCCGUCCACCCCCAGCGCUCUCCCCAGGGACCCCCGCCAUCUGCCAUCACCUCAUCCCCAGCCCAGGGUGACAGUAUUUACCGCUGAAGUGCGCUGAGUGUAAUUGCUAAUCAGAUACAGGCAAUCAAUUCAUCCCCCCGCCGCUGCCGCCUCGGGGAGGGGCUGCCUUUCCCUGCUGAAGGUGACUCCUGCAGGAAUUCAGAUUUAAAAAUAAAGGCGAUAAUCAUCAGAAGUUCAUUAAAUUAGCAUCAGGCUCAUUUGCACGUGGGGGGUGGGGUGGUGGUGGCAGGGAGCAGGACCAGGCAGAGGACAUCUCUACCUGCCUCCCCUCAGUCCAGGGAUGUCCGCAGGAGAUGCCUCCAGCGGGACAAGGGUCCAAACGCUCCUGGGAGCUCUCCCUGAUUUACUCCUCCUGUCCCGGGGUUGCUGCAGUCAUGAGUCAACAGUGCAGUAUAUUUAAAUGCAAAACACCAUUAUCCUUCAUUAAAAGCUCUGUCAUCA